AGAUGACUAUCAGAAUAAACAGUGAGGCAGAAAUGCUUUUCUCUGUAAUGGACUGGAAUGGCAAGAGGAAUUCAUCCUCUGGAUGACUGCUGAGAAAUUCUGUCAAUAGUGGUCUCACAGAGCUUCAAAGGACAGGAUGUACUACAAAGACUAAUGGCUCAGAACCUAGGUUGGACUCAGUCAACCUGAAUUCUGGCUCUGUGCUCUGCAAUUCAGUAGCUAUGUUCAGUAAAACCAGGUUUUCUUUUUUUUUCUAUAAAAUCCAGAGGAAAUAAAAAAAAAAUCCAAAGA
rnacentral:lncRNA from 1 species